CCUGAUCUUUAUGUGCUUAAGCCAAUAAAAUACGUGGGAAUUGAAGUUUGGCAGGUGAAGUCUGGGUCAGUUUUUGACAAUGUUUUGAUAUGCGAUGAUCCAGAAUAUGCAAAAGAAAUGGUCCAGGAAGUAUUUGCCAAUAGGGAGAUUGAAAAAGAAGCAUUUGAGGAAGCAGAAAAAAUCCGAAAAGCUAGAGAGGAAGAGGAAGCUCAAAGGGCUAGAGAAGAAGGUGAAAGGAGGAGAAGAGAAAGAGGAUAUGAUCGUCGCUACCGAGAUAGAUAUAGAGACAAAUACAGAAGGCAUCACCGUGAUGACAUGGACGAUUAUCAUGAUGAGCUGUGAAGUGUUUUGCAUCUUCAUUCUUCUCUCCAGCAGCCGCUACCAGUGCCGGAAUAUGAGAUCAGCCGCAAAUGCCUUGCAAU
rnacentral:misc_RNA from 1 species